rnacentral:rRNA from 1 species
CCUACGGGUGGCAGCAGUGGGGAAUAUUGCACAAUGGGGGAAACCCUGAUGCAGCGACGCCGCGUGAGUGAAGAAGUAUUUCGGUAUGUAAAGCUCUAUCAGCAGGGAAGAAAAAAGACGGUACCUGACUAAGAAGCCCCGGCUAACUACGUGCCAGCAGCCGCGGUAAUACGUAGGGGGCAAGCGUUAUCUGGAUUUACUGGGUGGAAAGGGAGCGUAGACGGGGCGGCAAGUCUGAAGUGAAAGGGAGGGGCUUAACCCCGGAACUGCUUUGGAAACUGCCAUGCUAGAGUGCUGGAGAGGUAAGUGGAAUUCCUAGUGUAGCGGUGAAAUGCGUAGAUAUUAGGAGGAACACCAGUGGCGAAGGCGGCUUACUGGACAGUAACUGACGUUGAGGCUCGAAAGCGUGGGGAGCAAACAGGAUUAGAUACCCCUGUAGUC